rnacentral:rRNA from 1 species
GUAGGUGGCAAGCGUUGUCCGGGAAUUAUUGGGGCGUAAAGCGCGCGCAGGCGGUUCUUUAAGUCUGAUGUGAAAGCCCACGGGCUCAACCGUGGAGGGUCAUUGGAAACUGGAGAACUUGAGUACAGAAGAGGAAAGCGGAAUUCCACGUGUAGCGGUGAAAUGCGUAGAGAUGUGGAGGAACACCAGUGGCGAAGGCGGCUUUCUGGUCUGUAACUGACGCUGAGGCGCGAAAGCGAGGGGAGCAAACAGGAUUAGAUACCCUGGUAGUCCACGCCGUAAACGAUGAGUGCUAAGUGUUAGGGGGUCUCCGCCCCUUAGUGCUGCAGCUAACGCAUUAAGCACUCCGCCUGGGGAGUACGGCCGCAAAGGCUG